AAUGUAGUUAUCUUUUUGAAAAUACCGCGAACAUCCGCAAAAUGCUUGAUAAGGCACAAAACUGCGACAGGACCUAUCAUAUACAGAUAGCCAGUAAGCAGUUAGAACAGAAACGAGUAACAUGCAUUUUGUGCAGGUUAUUGAAAGUGCUACAAAUGUAGAAAGUGACACGACUUGCUUAGUGAAGGCUUUACCUGCGACUGUGGCUACAAAUUUGGAGGAAGCUCUCGAGAACUUAAAGAUAAACUUUAACCGGCGACGUCCAGAUCGCAUAGAAGCUGAAACUAGUGGUGUUACGAUUCUAAACAUCUUGGGUGGAAUCGAGUACAAUGUCUACGGACAAUCGAUGGCAAUGGAAGAAUCUAAUAUAGGAGGAAGGACCGUUAGAGUUCAAAAACUCGUUUGGACCAUGGGAAAAACUAGCGUUUGAUAGGUCUGUGGCAAAA